rnacentral:misc_RNA from 1 species
UCCGGUUUGUCACCGGCAGUCCCAUUAGAGUGCUCAACUGAAUGUAGCAACUAAUGGCAAGGGUUGCGCUCGUUGCGGGACUUAACCCAACAUCUCACGACACGAGCUGACGACAGCCAUGCAGCACCUGUGUUCCGGUUCCCUUUCGGGCACUCCUGCAUCUCUGCAGGAUUCCGGACAUGUCAAGGGUAGGUAAGGUGGGGAUGACGUCGCGGCAUUAGCCA